rnacentral:rRNA from 1 species
GAUGAACGCUGGUGGCGUGCCUAAUACAUGCAAGUCGAGCGAACAGACGAGGAGCUUGCUCCUCUGACGUUAGCGGCGGACGGGUGAGUAACACGUGGAUAACCUACCUAUAAGACUGGGAUAACUUCGGGAAACCGGAGCUAAUACCGGAUAAUAUAUUGAACCGCAUGGUUCAAUAGUGAAAGACGGUUUUGCUGUCACUUAUAGAUGGAUCCGCGCCGCAUUAGCUAGUUGGUAAGGUAACGGCUUACCAAGGCAACGAUGCGUAGCCGACCUGAGAGGGUGAUCGGCCACACUGGAACUGAGACACGGUCCAGACUCCUACGGGAGGCAGCAGUAGGGAAUCUUCCGCAAAGGGCGAAAGCCUGACGGAGCAACGCCGCGUGAAUGAUGAAGGUCUUCGGAUCGUAAAACUCUGUUAUUAGGGAAGAACAAAUGUGUAAGUAACUAUGCACGUCUUGACGGUACCUAAUCAGAAAGCCACGGCUAGCUACGUG